rnacentral:misc_RNA from 1 species
GAAAUGCGAUACGUAAUGUGAAUUGCAGAUUUCAGUGAAUCAUCGAAUCUUUGAACGCACAUGGCGCUCCUGGGCAUGCCUAGGAGCAUGCCUGUUCGAGUAUCGUUUCAUUACCUUUCCUUUCAUUCAAACACCCUUUGAGUGAAACGGGAGUACUGCCCAUUCCAUGCGCUCUGCUCGCGUGGAUUGGUAGUGAAAUGUAUGCCUGAUCCAAACUCUCCAUUGGAUGCCAAUCUUGUUGUGGGAUGUAUUUCACAUACAAAAUUGCUGCAGCCAUCGUGUGGGAGUCUGGAUUAUCAGGUUUCUCACAAUGAUGAGGUGACCAAGCCUCGUCGCACACCCUAUCCACACACGAUCUCGAAUCAGGCAAGGCUACCCGCUGAACUUAA